UGUUGUGAAGGCUUGGCCCCCAGCUGGUGGUGUUGUUGAGAAUGGUGGAAUCAUGAGACAGAUAACCUCAUCGAUGUAUUAAUCCAUCCUGGACUUCAGGACUGAAUUAAGGCAGGGUCCGUGUCUAGAGAUGUGCCCUUGAAACUUGUAUCUUGUCCCCAGAACUUUCCUCUGUUUGCCCCCUGUGCUUCUUGGCUGGUGUUAACUAAAAGACUUGGCUUCUCCCAUUAUGCCUUUCUGACAUGGCACUCUACCUCAUCAUCAGCUUAGAAGCAAUGGAGUCAGAGGACCAUGGGCUGGAGACUCUGAAAUGGCAGGCUUGGACAAAUUCUCCUGUCUGUUGCUAAGUGAUGGAUCGGAACCAAUUUUCAGAACUUAACACAAGAAGGAAGACAAGGAUGGGAGGCUGAGGAAGAAGUACUGGGUGGGACCACCCAGACCACUGCAGGAAGCUGUUGCAGGCUUCCUAUGGAAUUCAAGGUCAGAGCAGUUCCGGUCACUACAGAGUCCCACUCAGUAGAGCACGCCUCCGAGCCUGUCUGUACUACAUGACCAAACUUCCAUUCAUUAGUGUCUGAAACACUUCAGCUGUGAAGGGGCUCCUAAAUGUUACCAUGUGUGACGCUGCUUCUUAAAAGUAGCAAACAGGAGGGGAGAAGCUGGCAGGACUGGCUGGCUGGCUGGCUGCGCAUGCCCUCCCAUGAAUGUGCUCGAACACGCACAUGGCCAUGGAGCCUCUAGCCUGGUUUUUUUUUUCCUCCACAGCUCACUGCUUCUUACAAGUUGAAAAAGGUUUCAAACAUUCUCCUUCCCACUAAAGCCGGAGAGAGCUGUAAAUCCAGGGAAUCAACACGCAUGCAAACGAACGGAUUACAGUUUAAAAAAUAGAAUCACUGCAGCAUCAAGUCACGGGAGUUCACACCGGUUUUGUUUAGUCUGCUUUUGGUUUUUGUGGGAAAUGUGGAACGCAUGGAGCUACCUCCCUUCUCCUCCCAGGCCGCCAAACUGUGGGCUUCACAUCUUGACGAGGCAAGAGGCCAUGACCCUGAGAUUCUCUGUGGAGUCCUGGUUCGAAAGGAGGAUGUAGCAAGAUCAAAGCCACAGGCAGACGAAAUAGAGACAAGCUGAGGAUCAGCUGCCCCGUGACCCUGUCUUUUCACUUAAUAUUUAAAUUCCAGAAAGUCACUAAACUGUUCGGCAGCUACCCUCUUUGUCCCCUCCAGAGGACUCACUUCUCCUAACAUAAGGUGUGGACUCACUUUAGCUUGCUCCCCUGGAACAGACCACAGCAGAGGGCAGAGUGUGGCAUGUUUAACUCCAUCUUCUCACAGGAUGAGACCAAGCUGGACUCCCCUACUCCCCCACCCCAUCCACCCCCCCACCCCCAAAACAACUGACCUAUGGUUAUUCUAUUUCUAUCAGCUCAAUAUUCUUCUAUCUGUAAACCCAAGCGCUUAAGGAUCGGGAAGGAAAAAAAGGAUUCUCAGGUCACAAACUUAUGGAGACCUCACACUAAAUGGAAUGUGACUCUGGCUUUAUAGGACAUUCCUGGGAGCCUUGUUUGAUGGGAGCUCCUGCAAUUCCUGAUAGUCAAACCUCUUAGACACAACUCGGCCCCAAAUGAUGACCCCUUGUUUCUUUUACUUAGCAUGUCUUAACACAACAUAAGGAGUAGUUUUAUUUAUGUAUCUUUCCUCUGACCUUGAAAUUCUUUUGCUGGUAGCUAUCAAUUAGGACUGGGAAGCUAACGAGGAGGUCAGGACAGAAAAUCUCACUCCACUAAGUGUGGGGUGGCAAUGUGGCUCUCAUAUGUUCAGCACAGUGGGUGUUUUCAAAGGCUUAGUGGAGAGUUUCUUUCUUGGCACAGCCUUGGCUAGCCUCUCCUCUGGCAGGGUGGGUGGCACUUCCCACCACCAGCCUCAGCUCUCACCUCUCUGUGGCCUGGCUUUUUGUUCUAGAUGUGGCUGCCCUCCUGUCAGGUACAGAGAUAUGGUUGGAAAACCAACUCUGGUUCUACUCUCACUAAACUUCACUCAGGGAUCCUGUGUCUUGUAAAGAACAGAAACAAGGGGGAUUCUGGGAUAAGCAGCUGUCUCUCAUGUCCCCAGAUGAAGCCUGUCACCACCACAGAGAAAUUCCCAUCAACCUCCAGGCUUAGUCCUCUUAGCAGUCAUGGCUGUGGGCUGUGGACCACAGCUUGUGCCCCCAGAUAUGUAUGUACCUU